UGUUAGUUUUCUUACAUGAUGGUUCAACUUUAAUGAAUAUGGAUCACGUUUAGUUUUUUGUAUGCCCGUGGGUUGUUUCAUUUUUUUUUUCUUAGGUGAAAAUUUUGGUUUUUUCAUUAAAAGAAAAGAAAAAAAAAAAAAAAAAAACUUUCUGCCAAUGGCUUAUCUGCUAAAUAAUCAAUGAGAUGGGUUCUUGAAUAUAUUUUUCAGAAGCAAAUCUACAACAGCUAGUUUCCAACGAAUAAUGAAAGUUGCGCUUUUCAUAAAAAAGAAAAAAUAAAGAAUUUGCAUAACAGUAUCAGAUUGUCAAUGGUCAAAUAGAUGACUUCUUCUAUUUGAAGUUAAAAGUUUCUUUUUCUUUUUUAAAUAAAACAUCACACUUACAACAAGAAAGAAAAAAAAUACAUAUGUCUAAUAAAAAAAGAGCCUAUAAUAAGUUUAUGUUUGGGGGUAGAGUUGUAAGAUGAAGUUUCUCGAUAAAUGUAAAAAGUAUAGAAAGAGGGAAAAAUAGAGUUGUUCGACAAAUGUGAGAAGUAGGGAUAGAAAGAAAGAUAAAGUUCUUUGACAAAUAUGAAAAAAAGUAGAAAAAGAGGGGGAAAUUAAGUUACUCUAAAAAUGUGUUUACAUCAACUUAAAAAGUUGGUGGGUCAAACGGCCUCUUAGAGUGUAA